rnacentral:rRNA from 1 species
CGGGACGGGUGAGUAACGCGUGGGUAACCUGCCUCAUACAGGGGGAUAACAGUUAGAAAUGACUGCUAAUACCGCAUAAGCGCACAGAAUCGCAUGAUUCGGUGUGAAAAACUCCGGUGGUAUGAGAUGGACCCGCGUCUGAUUAGCUAGUUGGUGGGGUAAAGGCCUACCAAGGCGACGAUCAGUAGCCGGCCUGAGAGGGCGGACGGCCACAUUGGGACUGAGACACGGCCCAGACUCCUACGGAAGGCAGCAG